rnacentral:lncRNA from 1 species
CCCGCCGGGCAGCACCACCCUAUAUAAACCUCACCCCAGUUAGUCUCGUCCUCUCUCGCCCUUGUUCAAAGCAACCUGACAGCUGUUUCCCCAAUAAACCCUUGCCUUGGGUGCUCCUGUUUCUGCUCAUUUUCUUUCAGUCGGGGACUCUGUAAGGCAAGGGUGUGCCCAGCAUCAACAUUCACCUUCUGAGGAGGCAGAUCUGUGAUUGCGUGGAAGUAGCAGAAACUGAGGUGACAAUUGAGAGGUCAUGGCCAGGGCUACUCUCUGGUGGAUACUCAAAGGUCCCCCAGAAGAAACUAGGUCCUGACAGCCCAUCCUGUUAAUCAAAACCACCCCCAACAGCUGUUAAAGUUUCAGAGAUCCAGCCAUGGAUUCAUCAGCCUCAAAUUAAGAAGGCCCAUCUCAGCAACUCUUGGGAGGCCCACACCAACAAGACAAUUCCCUUAAAGAUCACUCUGAGGAGACAACACACUCAAGACCUGCUCCUGUCACUCCAGGCACUGACAGGCCAACAACACACAGCUGGCCUGAGGACCUCAACCCACGAACCACUGCUGUGCUUUCCAGACUUGAUCUUUCCCUGACAUCUUUAUUCUUGCCUACCUCAGAGUGACUCCCUUUAUUUUGGCGUAGGCUUAAUAACUGUUGCUCCAGAGGACUGGAAUACUUUCAAAGAUGUUUCCUCUUAGCUAUAUGUUGGGGUUUUAUGUUGGUAUUUGCUAUCCUAUCUUCUUUAGAUUGACUCAGGAAAACCCUGACAACUGGUGGAGUGUCCGAGGUGACAGGAAGACAUGGAUAGGUGCUAUAUCAGGACCUCUCCUUGGUACCCUCAUGUUAUUAACAAUCGGUUCAUGCUUUAUAAAUUGGUUCAUAUGCUUUAUUUCUCAAUGCCUUAACUCCAUUAAGAUCCAAAAACCAUACCAAUUGAUGGUAACUUCAAGGUCUGAUGCUUACACUUACACAUGUAAAAACAUAGACCAUCAAACAAGUUGAAGAUUCAACUGUAAUCAAAAAAGAGGAUGGAAUGAACAAGGAAAUGAUUUCUGACCAGAAAGAGCCUAUGCCUCAGGUAAUCAGGUAGCAAACAAAAGGCUCCUCCUAGCUCUGACCCCUCUCACACCUAAAAC